CAGAAAUUAAUGGCACUAGUGCUGGUGUUGUCAAACGUUAGUCUGGAGUCUAUACAGUGGUUCUCGAAUCAGAAAAGUCAUAAUAGUGUAAGAAGAAUGUGGUCCGUGGUAUAUUUUCACUGCAAAAAAAAAAAAUGCUGCACAUAUCACUGUAAAUUGAGAAAAGCCAAAAAAAUCAGUCAUUUUAGGCUGUAAAAAAAACAAAAAAAGAGCAGCGAAAUCUAGUAGGGACUGUAUUUGGGGGAGGUGGGGUAUGAUAUUGAUUAACUAUAUCAGAUUAUAUAAAUAAUAGAUUGGAUAUACAUUAGUGUUGGGCGAUAUGGGUCAUUUUUCAAAUCGUCAUAUCGUCAGCCCGUGAGAUCGACGAUACACAAUAUUAUUGUGCAUGGGUGGAGUAAGAGAGAGAUUAUUUGUUCUUGUCAUAGCAUAACUAUUUGGUGUUUUAAACCACACAGGUGUGCGAGAAAGAGCCCGUGGAAUCUCCAAUAAUCGAAAUACUUUCAAACAUACUGAUAAACUAAUGUUAAAUAUAAAAAUACUGUAUUUAAAACAGCUAGUUCAUAUACAGACGGACGCAGCUGUCAUAUUGCGCGUCCUGUGACAAAUCUGCACACGGAAGUUAUCAGUGUUCUGCAAAAUCAUUCAACGGUGAAAAUCAAUAGUAGAUUUAAUUUAAAGUCCAGCCGUUUAACACUAAUAUUGGGCAUAAACGAACACGUUAAAUAUAAAGUAUUCAAAACAGGUAAGUUGAUAUAUUUGGAGUAAAGUUAAAUUGAACUGAUGCAUCAGCGCUCCGGAGCGCGCGCCUCACGACGAGACGAAUGCACCGCCACAGAAACAAGAAUGAGAUGCGUUUUCUAACAUAACUGUGCCAUAAACUCAUUUAGUGAGGGCUCAUUUAAAAUAUUGCACAUAUAUAGGCCGUUCAGAUUACUUGUUAAAGUGCAAUGAAAUACCUUCUAUCUGCAGACGAUGUACAUCUGUUUGUGGAUGGAGACUUUGUAACGGCCAAAACUAUGCAUUUUGCAUACAUCACAUUAUAGUGCAGUGUGCCCUUUAAGAGACUUAUCACUUCACUUAUAAUGCACACUAUGUGGUGAUGACGUAGAAGGACUACGCGAGAACCACUGCCGCCUUGUUAUUAUUUUGUCUUUAUUUCCCAGCAAGCAAUAGCCGUCAUUUCAACGUCUGGGUUAAAUAUAGACCAGAUAUAGUCCGGCUAUGUGUAACCCACUUUUAGCCCAAAUAACAUUUAAUCUGGAUAAAUGUAUUUUUUUUGCAAAAUAACUUGUGAGAUGUAUGAUAUUCCAUCAUGUACGCAGAGUCUACAGUGAAUACAAGUUGUUUGGUUUACUUUAUUUUACAUGUUAUAUGUGUAGGCUGUGCGUAGCCACGAUUUAGCUCGUAUUCAGACCCGGCUAUUGUAGACCACUUUUUGUCAAAACUGAUUAAUUGUAUUUUUUUGCCAGGCAGUGCAUCAAAUGGUUAAUAUUCAAUCAUGUUCGCAUUGGUAUGAUAUCAAGGUUCAAUACGUCAUUUCACGGCAUGGUAGAUCACGAUUUAGCUCCGAAUUGGACGGGCUAUAAUGCGGUCUGCUUUAGCCCACCUGGCGAAAUUAUUGCAAUCUGGGCUCAGAUUUAGACCAGCGACCUAGAAUAUUAGUCUUUGAAAUGUUUUCGCUUACACAGCUUAAUAUAUAUUUUCUGUCAAACAUUCAUACACAAUCUACGAUAAAAAUAUCUAAUCAAAUGCAAUUGCAUUUCCCAACCGCUAGAUGGCACAAUUGAAACACUACUGAGACAUGUCUACUGGAACUAAUGCCAUUGCGUGACUAGAUCACUUAAGCCAAAUCUCGCGAUAAACAUUUCCGCCAUUUUAUUUUACACGAGGCAGCUGUCGGAGAGCAACGGGUGAGCAACAGUCUGAGUGAAAACCUUCACAUUUCUACUUCGAUCUUAAGAAAGCCAUACAGGUUUGGAACCAAGUGAAAACGCAGUGAUGACCAGCUUUCCAUCAGCUACGGAAUGUGAAAUAAAAAAUGCUAUUUCUAAUCAUUUCAAACAAGCACCAGGGAGGGCAGGGGGUCUAUGGAUCUAAAGUAAACAGUUAAUUCUUAAAAAUUAAUUGUUUUACAUAUUUUUCCAAUGUUUUAUUUGUUCAUUUUUAUGUUUGAAUGUUGUCCAAGUUGUUGUUGUCUAUAUAAUUGUUCAAAAUAAAUCCCUUUAUAUUCAAUUAGUUUGGAUGGAUUUUCAUUUAUGAGAACCUGAUAUAUUUGAGUGAAAGAAUCCUUAUGCCUCAUUUUGUUGUCUAUUACAUGUAUAUGUAGUGUAAUGGAUGACUAGUCUAUUCUUGGGCUAUGGUUAGACGUCUAUUAGAUUUUCACUGACAGCCCAAAAUCAGCCUUGUUUUAGCCUAGACCCAUAUUGCCUGUCUAUUAGACGUAUGUAGUCAUUUAGCGGUCUAAUUGAUGACUAGUCUAUUCUUGGGCUAUGGUUAGAUGUCUAUUGGACGUAUAAACAUAGUCGUUCAAUAGCUGUCUGAUUGUCUAUUCUUGGGGUAUGUUUAGACGUCUAUUAGACGUAUAUAUGUAGUCAUUUAAUAGCUGUCUAUUCUUGGGGUAUGUUUAGACGUCUAUUAGAUUUUCACUGACAGCCCAAAAUUAGCCUCGAUUUAGCCUAGACGUCUCGGCUGUGUUUAGACGGCUACUAGACGUCUAUUAGACGCAAAAUUGCUUGCUGGGAAGAGUUAAUCUCUCAUGUUUGAGAAGAGCGCGUUGCCGUGUACCAACCAUUAAAUGUGUGGGACACCAACUCCUCGUUUUAUAUCUCUUUCAUUUCAUGGAUUUAACGAGUUAUCCGAGUCAAAGCGUUACAACUUCAGCGACUACAGGCUCUAAUCCUCUUUUGCACGCACGCACGUGUGUGUGUGUGAAAUGCGGUGAUGAAGUGAAAUAACUGGGCAGUUUGACAGCAGAAUUAUAAUAGGCCGCCUAAUAACAAUAAUACGAGUUAUUAUUAUUAUCAUUUAAUACAUUAAUUG